rnacentral:lncRNA from 1 species
CGGGGACUGGAGCAGGAGGGCUGCACCGGGACUCCGGGACAGGCCCAGUUGAAAACGGCGGGGCGAGGGGGUGGGGUGGAGACGCCCGCGACGCCAAGGCUGGGGUCCCGGAAAGCGCGGGGAGGAGGGUGGAAGGCAAAGGCAACUUCGGGGAAACUGGGAAAGGCGGCCGGGACCUCGGGGACACUGCGUACCACCCGGCGCACAGCCCCUCCCGCGCAAACCCGAGCCAAAGGGGCGGUCGAGCGGCGCACUCGGAGCGGAGCUCAGGGGAUGGUGCGCCCGGCACUUAUGCUGGGCUCAGCCCAGCCCAGCCCAGGACCGCUGGCGGUGCGAACCCAGCCGGGCGGGUGCAAGCGCGGGGCAGGGCCUCUGCGCCCGGCCCCCUCCCCUGAGUAGAAAAGCAGCCGCAGGCUGUGGCGCUCCACCACGCCGUCCGGGUGGGCCUAGCAGUCGCUCCAUUUAUCGCUUGAGAUCUCCAGCCUUACCGCGGCUCGAAAUGGACCCCAACUGCUCCUGCACCACUGGUGUCUCCUGCGCCUGCACCGGCUCCUGCACGUGCAAAGAGUGCAAAUGCACCUCCUGCAAGAAGAGCUGCUGCUCCUGCUGCCCCGUGGGCUGUGCCAAGUGUGCCCACGGCUGUGUCUGCAAAGGGACGUUGGAGAACUGCAGCUGCUGUGCCUGAUGUGGGAACAGCUCUUCUCCCAGAUGUUAAUAGAACAAGCUGCACAACCUGGAUUUUUUUUCAAUACGAUACUGAGCCAUUUGCUGCAUUUCUUUUUAUAUUAAAUAUGUGAGUGACAAUAAAACAAUUUUGACUUGAAUCUUA